rnacentral:lncRNA from 1 species
UCCACCACCAUCGUUAAAACCAAACCCUAACAUGGAGCCCAACCCAAAACCCUAAGGACCUCCUAACCCAAUCCCUAAGACUAACCCGAACCCAAUCCUAGGAUCAUGAUCCAUUCUGGUCUGGCCCAACCCCAGUCUUAAACCCAAUCCAAAUCCUAAGGAUGACUCGAACCCAAUCCCUAAUGCUAACCCAAACCUAAUCCUAAUCCUAAGAUCCUGACACAAUCUAGUCUGACCCAAACCCAAUC